rnacentral:lncRNA from 1 species
UUACAAUUGAAAGUAUUCCUUGUAUGUAUGUAUGUAUGUAUGUAUGUAUGUACGUAUGUAUGUAUGUAUGUAUGUAUGUAUAAUAUAUGCAUAUAAGAAAAAAAGAUAUAUACAUAUAUACAGAUAUUUUUCUGCACUUUUGAAUAGACCAUCAUUCGCUGACAUGAGGACGAUAGAAAAAAAAUCGAAUACCUUCUAUUUAUAGAAGAGAUGGCAUUUGAACCAACUCUAAAUUAUAUUUAUUUAGCUGUGAAUAAACUGAAUAACAAUAAGUCUUCGGGGCCUGAUGGAAUCUGCGCAGAAGUCUUGAAAUAUGUAUGAACUCUUAAAUAUAUUAAUUUGUCACUGUUGGAGAACUGAGAAAGUGCUUCAAGACUGGAUUCAUGCCAUCUUAGUCUCCUUGUAUUAACGUGGGCCAAAGGAUCUGAAUGGUAAUUUUUGUGGGAUUUCGCUUUUGUCUGUGGUUGAAAAAGUACUUGCCCGCAUUUUGUUAGAACGUUUAAAUACCUUCAUAGUUCUAAACAUAGUGUCUGAGUCUCAGUGUAGUUUUCGUUCCUCCAGGGGCAUAGUUGAUUGUAUCUUUACUAUCAGACAAUUUCAAGAAAAGUGCAUUGAACAGAGUCUUGCUCUAUACCAUUGCUGUGUUGAUUUGAGCAAACCACUCGAUACUGUUAAUCGAAAUUCUUUAUGGCUAAUUCUAAGGAAAACAGGUUGCCCACAAAAAUUUGAGAGCUAGAGUUAACUUUGGUGGUAGGCUCUCUAAAUCUUUUGCUGUGGAGUAAAGCAAGGAGCUCCUUGAUGCACCCAUACUCUUUGCGAUAUACUUUGUUGUUGUGUUGUCACAUGCUUUUCAAAACUCUGAAGAGGGUAUUUACAUAAAACAUCGAACAACAGGGAAUGUUUUUAAUCUGACCAGACUGAAAUUCAAAACAAAGGUUUUUACUUCACUCAUAAGGGAACUUUUAUACGCUGACGAUUGCGAUCUUGUCACUAUUCUGAAACAGGCCUGUAAUCUAUUGUAUCUGCAUUUGACUCGGUUUGUUAGGAUUUGGGUUUGACCAUCAACUUGAAAAAAUAGUUGUAAUGCAUCAACCUGCAUGUGGUGCUGUUUGUAACCCACCACUAAAAAUUUUGUUAAGUUACUUGAGGUUGUCGAUUCGUUCAUCUUCCUUGGAAGCUCUGUAUAAAAGGAUUCAGAAAUACGGAUAAAGAAAUUUUCUUGAUACAGAAAUACAGAUGCGAAUUCAAAGUGCAGCAAAAGCACUUGGUUGCUUGGAGUUACGCAUUUGGUGCCAGCGACAUAUAAAUAAGCGUACAAAGCUGGCUCUUCACAAAUCAUUUAUCUUACCAUCCCUGUUGUAUUCUUGGGAAACAUGGAUUUGUUAUGAAAGGCAUUUUAAAUUGUUAGAACAAUUCCACCAAAAAUGCUUUCAUCGCAGGCAUCACCUCAAUUAAAGCUAUGAUUUUGAGGGACCAAAGGAAAUAGUGUGGUCAUAUUGUUCUAAUGGCGGAUGAACGCAGGCCAAGCAGCUGUUUUAUGGUGAGCUUGCAGAGGGGAAACGCUAUCGGCGUAAACCUAAGAAAAAGUGUAAGGACGGCAUAAGGACCACUAUGACGUCAUUUGGAAUGGAUCCAGAAGACAUAGAAACCCUUGCUUCGGAUCGAGUUUGAUGGCGAACAAAAGUGUGGAGUAGAGUGAAAGCAUUUGAAGAGGCCAAGAUAACGCAUGUAAGACUCAAAAAAAGAUCUAAGGAAGAAUGUUACGUCCGAGAAGGUGAAUGACAAUGACCUUUUUGUGUGCAGUUUGUGACAGACCAUGCCUGUCUUUUGCUGGGCUCAAAUCGUAUCUGCGAACCCAUGGAAAACGAACCUCCACCAACUAUUCUGCCUAUAUGACUGUGCACACCUUUGAAUACAGUGUAUGUCAGAAGGUUUGCAAAACUAACGGAGGCAUCAAAAGACAUUUUAAGAUCCACAAAGAUCAGAAUUUAUCUGCAGUUCUUGGUGGUCCAAAUCGGAUGUACAAUAUAUGUGGGUGUCUUUUCAGGACAUUGUCUGGUUUAAAAAGCCACAUCAGAUGCCAUAAUGGUGCUAAGGUGUAGUUACAGGAGGUGGUCAAUCUUUACAUAAAGAGCAAACAACCACCAUGUGUGAAUACGAGAAAGAGAGAAGAUAUAUUGCUUGUUAUAUACUAGUUAUCAUUUGACAAAUCAGCAAAUCGAUCUCAAUAAAUGUCCGAUACGUCCUGUACCUAUUAUCGAUCUCAGAAAGAUUGGAAACAGAAACCAGUUAACAAAAUACCGCAUAGUGACAAAUCAGCAAGACAUUCUGUUAAAUACUCGACUGAUUUUAUCAUCUACUACACACUGUUACAAACACUGUGUGUAUGUGUAAAUAUGUGUGUGUACGUAUGUACGCAUGUAUAUAUAUAUGUAUGUAUGCAUGUAUGUAUGCAUGUAUGUAUGCAUGUAUAUAUAUAUAUAUAUAUAUAUAUAUAUAUAUAUGUAUGUAUGUAUGCAUGUAUGUAUGUAUGCAUGUAUAUAUGUGUGUGUGUGCGCGUGUGUGUGUGUAUGUGUGUGUGAGUGUAUGUGUGUGCGUGUGUAUGUGUGUGUGUGUGUGUGUGUGUGUUUAUGUUUAGUUGUAAAAACAAUCUUACAUUAAUUUACUGGGUUACCCUAUACUUUCGUAGAGCACAAAUUCAUUAUUCUUAAACAAGAAUGUUGUUAACAGUGACUUCAAAAUUUCGGCCAGCUAAGCAGUCCGACUAUGGCUAACUGGCCCAAAAUAUAUUGUUAUAUUUUGGGACGGUCACCUUUUUUGUUUUUUGCUAAAUAUGCACACGGCACUAAAUAUUCGUUCUUCACUUCAGAUUUAUUAUUGUCCUUAUUUUAUGUCCUUUGUCAGGAAAUCUUUCGUCACACAUAUGUGACCUCUUCAGAGGUUCCUCUUCCUGUUCUAUUUAGCCCGCACAGAUAUGAGGGCAAUUCAAGCUUUCAUCUAAAGGACAGGUAGACUUCAAAUGUUUCUCUAGCUUUCAAAUGAUUUGUCUAUUUUAAAAGUACUACCGUUGUUUAAAGUUGGGAAUUUUCUCUCCCCCCACCUCUCUCUCUCUCUCUCUUUCUCUGUGUUUCUCGUUUACCCGCUCGAUCGCUCUUUGUCACUUAAUUACACCUAUUUCAGUGGAGCCUUGAGAGUUAAGUGUUUCAGAUCUGAAAUACGUAUUCAUGAUAGAGACUACUAAACACUUGACAAAUAGUGUAACACGAUAGUUCACUAAGCCUUCCAUGACAACCAGGUGUGUUUGUGUGUGUGAGUGUGUGUGUGUGUGUAUAUAUACAAGGGAUCUCCCAAAAGUAAUGUAGGAAUGGACGUAAUUAUGUUAUUAUCUGACAUAUGCCGUUCAAAUGGUACUGGCCGGUUGAGUAACUCUUCCUCUACAAAAACUCUCCUCUCUGUUCGUCUUUAUUGCAUGAUAACAAUUUGUAUGGAGGAAGAGAUUUUCUACCAAAUUCUGCAAUUCAAACGACUUUAAUCAGCCAAUAAAAAAAUAAUACCCACUUUGCCGUACAGUUCUAGUCGAAACAAUCUUUGUACAAAUUUCAUCAUCCUUUUUGAAUCCUCAAACAUAAGUAUAGUCACAGUUAUACACACAAAUAUACUCAUACACAUACAUAUAUGAGGGUAUGACGAAUAUAUAUGUUUUGAUGUGAAAUUAUGCACAUAUGUAUUCAUAUGUAUGUGUGUGUAUAUAUAUAUAUAUAUAUAUGUGUGUGUGUAUGUGUGUAUGUAUGUAUAUAUACAUAUAUAUAUACAUACACUACGGGCCUCUCCACAGUCUCAGCCUAAAAGCUUGCAAUGUGAACUUCUAAAUUAUACGGAGAAUAUACGUGCGUACGCGCGCGUGUGUGUGCGUGCACGCGGUCAUAUCUCGGACGUAAAGUAAAUCGAGCGGCAGAACCUCCCGCGUGGUUACAAACACUUUCUUGCCAUAAAUGCAAUGCUGAAACCACAUCAUUUAUUCGAUUUGAUAACAUGACGUUUCCAUUUCUAUGGCGAUUCAGAACUCUUUAUACGUAAGUCAUUAAGCUUAACAAUACAAUGAAUCACAAGAGUUAAUAAAAGAAAUAAAAAUGAUUGCAAUUAGAAGAAAACCAGAAAAGGUACGGAAAACAGACAUAAGAAAGAUCAACGUGUCGACGUAGAAUGAGUAGAAUAAAGAAAAGGAAGAUAAGGAACAUAAACGAAAAAUAAGUAUAUUAUGUGAAUAUGUUAACAUUUAUAUAUUUAUAUAUAUAUAUAUAUAUAUAUAUAUAUAUAUAUAUAUAUUGUUAUAUUUCGGAAUGGUCAUAUUGCCAGUUUAGCCAAUAAAAACACACGCACUAUAUAUUUGGUGUUAUUUUGCUUCAGUGAUAUUUAUUUUUUACAUUAAUCUUAAUCUUAUUUCGGCCAAAGUUCUUUCGUCACACUCCUGUGACCGCAUCAGUGGCCCUUUGUUUUCUUCUCACUUAUUUGUGUCUCUCCUUACUAACCGUCAGCCAUUUUGUAUUUCUAUUGUAUGUCUUCAUUUGCGCAUGCUUAUAUCUCUAUGUGCGUCUAUGUUUAUUUAGUGUGGGGGGGAUGCCUGUAAUAUUUGUAUCUUCUGUUUAUAUCUGUUUCAACACACGACUUCACAUAAAAAAUCUUGCACAACAAAUAUUUAAACGUAUAUAUAAACUGAAUGCAAUACCCAAUGAAUACACUGGACCCGGAGGGAUUGCAAUCCCAGAGGUACAAUCAGUGCGUGACAUGGGUAUUCACAUGAGUGAUGACGCGACCUUUCAUGUACAUGUUGCUAAACUGACAAUGAAAUGUAGACGGCUGGCUGGAUGGAUUCUUAGAACCUUUAGAACAAGAGAACAAGAAACCAUGAUGGUCCUCUGGAAGACACCUGUCCUAAGCCACUUUGACUAUUGCUCUCAGCUAUGGUCACCAUCCAGUGUCAAGUUGAUCACAGAACUUGAGACAAUCCAACGAAGCUACACGAAGAAGAUAGCCUCUAUGCAGAAUGUAAGCUACUGGGAAAGACUCAAGAGAUUAAAAUUAUAUUCCCUGGAGCGUAGGCGGGAAAGAUAUGCCAUAAUAUACAUCUGGAAGAUCCUGGAGGGAAGUGUCCUGAACUUUGGCAUCAAGAGUUACGCAAAUGCCAGAACUGGGCGCCACUGCGUGGUGCCUAGGACUCCAAACCUGCCAUCAAGAUGUAGGACAAGAUUCUGUGAUAGCCUGGGCUUCCGAGGCCCACAGCUCUUCAAUAUCCUCCCGAAGAACCUGAGAGACCUGCAUGGGGUGGAUACAGAUGUCUUUAAAAUGAAGCUGGAUCUCUUCCUGUCAGGUGUCCCAGAUGAACCAACUUCACGGCAGGAGGGGCAGAUGAGGGCAGCUGCAUCGAACUCUCUCAUGCACCAAAUAGCAGUUGCUAGAAAGCCUCCAUGAAGUGAAACCAAGUAGCAACACCAAAUGGCGGUGCCCCAGCAUGGCCACAGCUCAUAAGCUGAAACUAGAAUCAAUCAAUCAAUCAAUCAAUCAAUCAAUCAAUCAAUCAAUAUAUAUAUAUAUAUAUAUAUUUAUGAAAAUAGACAAAAGACGAAGGCAGGUGGAGUACAAACAAACAAUUGUAUUAGUAUGGCAAUUGUAUUAGUAUGGCGCUCAGGAAUAUAAAUAAAACAAGUAUUUUACGUUUCGAGCCUACGCUCUUCAACAGAAAGAUACACAGAAAAGAAACACAGAAAGAAACAAGGAGAGAAAAAAAUGCGUGCAGAGGCUAGCGAAUCAACAUGGCGAUAUAGGCAACAGUUAUUUUACGGGUUAAUCAGAUAAGGGUGGUACAACCUGCUGCUGUAACAGAAGCUCCUCAAAGAUACUUCCUGAAAAUCUCUGUUUUUGUGUUCUAAUGGAGGUCAAGAAUAUGCAGAUUAUUAAGGAUUUGUCCUUCAUCUGCUUUGCAAAGAUCACAUCUUUUACUUCCAGGCGUUUGCUUUUUCAAUAAUCUUCUAUUUACUGUUGUGGUUGCAAGCUUAGUUUUUCAAUUGCUGUUUGCAGUCGGUUAAUCUUGUCACAUUUGCCUUUUCGAUGUAACUAAAACAAGAUGUAAGUUUGUUGAAUCUUUGAUCUUCCUUCAGGACAUGCCUACCAUAUACGUAUAACGUCAUUGCUUGGUUUUAUACAAGUAACUCUUUUUUUUUUCAUAAACUUAGACCCAAGAGCCUCAAAAACGAACCUCAUAGAACUAACACUAAAUUCCAAAAAUAUAAAAUGUCUUCCAAUCGAAACAGGAAUACGACAUUAAGCAACUUAAUCUCAAAAUUCCGUCAAAGCUAGAAGACCGGUUUCCCAUUUUCCCCCUCUACAUCUGUUGUUGAAACAUUCACAUUACUUUGUUAUUAGUGCUUUGAUUCCUCUUAUAUUCGUAAAUAAUAUUUUUUUUACUUUUUCUACUAUUGUUCUAUAUUUUAUUUUCGGUAAUUUAUAUUUUUAGCCUCCGUGCAUGCCAAUUAUUAUACUGAUAAGAAGAAUUGCUCAUUUUUCCUAUCUAAAGGCCCUGCAACCUUAACAGAAGCGAAAUUAUUCAAAAUCUUGUAUCAAAAUGUAAGAAUAAACUGUAUGGUUUAGCGUUUGCAUUUAUAGUAGAAAGUUAUGAAUGGUAAUGAUGAGAAUUCUACGGUUCAUAUGAGUACGUAUAUAAAUGUUUGUGUGUGUUUAUGUGUGGUGGGUGCAAAGCAAUACAAAACUUAGAACUCUAUGAAAUCAUUGAUAGGCUUGGGAUGUCGAUAACAAAGUGUCCAAGUCUUUCUAUGCCACUUGCUGACUCGAGAGAAUGCAAGCCAAAUUCAACUCGUCUUCAAUAUCUACUGCUCUACUGUAGAUAUAUAGAUAGACAGACAGACAGAUAGAUAGGUAGAUAGAUAGACAGACAGACAGACAGACAGACAGACAGACAGACAGACAGACAGAUAGAUAGAUAGAUAGAUAGAUAGAUAGAUAGAUAGAUAGAUAGAUAGAUAGAUAGAUAGAUAGAUAGAUGGAUAGAUGGAUGGAUGGAUGGAUGGAUGAAUGGAUAUAAAUGUAUCUGACGGUGCAUAAAUGAUUUUAUAUAUAUGGGAGUAUAUAUAUAAACAUAAUUAGUGCAUGCAUAUACAUAUGCAUGUAUGUAUGUAUGUAUGUAUGUAUGUAUGUAUGUAUGUAUACGCAUAUACACACACACGCACUUACCUCACACUAAUCGAACUAUGAAAACAGGGCAGCGAGAACGGGAACAGGAAAUGAUCCAGAAUAGCUAUUUGUGAAGGGGAGGGUGUGAACUGCCGACCAGUUAGUUACACAGAUCGCUGGUGUGUAUAAAGAAAUAAAGACGUUAACCAGAGAAUAAUUAGAAGGCGAUAAGACAGAUUGUCGUGGGAUGGAGUGCUGGUGAGAUAACUUGGCCUUGUCCUACUUCUACCUGGACCAUCUCCAGGGGAAACGAUUUGAGACACUGACGAGGUUAUAUUUGUUGUGAAGAAGGGGAUACAACAGUGCAAUUUUUCAAAAGAGGAUUCGAGAGCUGAGGUCCUACGAUGGCACAAAUACAUCGCAUGUGAUGGAGACUACGUCGUGCAUGGAAGAAGAAUCUUCUACUAUUAUAUGCGAUUUUAACAACCUAUUACUUACUAAAAAAAUAUGAUUAUUUUUGCAUUAUUUUGUAGACAACCUUUAUAUUUGAGGGCAUGCUAAAAAUUUGGAAAGCUGAUACUAUUUUUAAAUUGUUUUACAUUAUCUAAUUAUUGACUUUUCAAGAAAAAAUCUUUAUUCUACUAAACACACGAGUGAAAUUUAUUAUUUUAUAUAAUUAGAUUUAAUUCUUGAAAGAUUCUGACCAAAAAAUGCCUCUAUUCCAUUUGCAACGACUUACUUAUGUAAAAGUGGGGAAGUGAGUAAAUUUGUUUGAGUUUGAUUGAAGAAAUGAAACAGUUGAAAACAAUUUUAUUUUAAGUAGCAACUUAAAUGCAAAUGAAGCGCAUACUAUUUCAGUAGAAAUGCUCGUCUGACAAUAUAACAAAAAACACUGAACAGAAUAAACAAUGAGAAUCGAACUACGUGCUCGCCAAUUCCCGCAGGCUGAGGUACCCACCACACCAUGGUAACCACUACAACUUUGUAGCACCUCUCUCUCACUCUCUCUCUCUCUUUCUCUCUCUCUCUCUCUCUCUCUCUCUCUCAUUCACUCUCUCUCGCACUCACUCUCUUCCUCUCUCUUUACACAUACACAAAGUUGAUUGCGGCUCAUGCGGUUUGAGAAGUAAUUGACCGAAAAUGUACUGAAUACUGUUAUGUAGAGUGGAAUAAUAACGUCAUUUACACAAAGCUGUGCUUGCGUGAGUUGCUGUUUGAAGUUUCUCGGUCUGAGUCCUCAGGCGGCUAAAUUUAUGCAUUUGGAAGCUUUUCAUUAUAUGUAGAAUAACUGUAGUUAUGGAUCAACUGACAUAGUUGAAAACCUCAGUAGGGUCUAUUAGUUACAUGUAGACAGGAAACAAUGAUUAGAGGAUAGGGAAAAAAACAGCAAGAGAAAGAAAAAAAUAAGAGCUAGAUGCCUGAGUAAAAGCAAAAGAAAAAGGAAUAAAACACAUAUAGAAGAAAGAGUAGAAGAAGAAUUAAGCUAAGUUGGAGAAGAUUGUGAAGAACACGAAACAGAACAUCAGGAAGAGGAAAAAGAAAAAGAGGAAAAAUGAAGCUUAAGUGAGAGAUAAAGGUGUGGAACAGAGAAAAUAUGUGCAGACGAAAGAGAAGAAGAAAGAGACAAAAGAGGAAUGGAUAAGAAAGAAGGAUAAGAUUUUUUAAAAAUUGCAGACAAAAAGAAAAUAGCCAAAAAGCAUUUUUAGACAUUUAUUCAAAUUUAUCAGCAGUUUUAAACAUAAAAGUCAAUUUUAUUUAUUGGAGUGUGAAGAAUUCUAAUGUAAGUGUUAUUUAUGCUUUUUUUGUUAGUUGAAGUCAAAUAUAAAGUUGCUAAUAGAUUGUCUUAUGUUCAGAUUAAUUGCCUAUUUUAAUGGAGUGUAAUGGGGCGGGGAACUGUUGCUUAACGGUAUAACGGACGGUUUCUCAACACACACAAACACAGACUUCCUUCACCCUCAUAUGUAUAUAAAUAUAUAUCACUAUAUCACUGUAUCGACCACACUAUCGAGUGUUGCAACACACCACAGCUCACAAUGUGCUUCCUCCCAUUGUUGUCGCUUUUGGAUGGUGUCAGCCCACAUGCUGGGCGGUAAGACAAACAACCCCUCUAAACGGAACGCCAGUCCGUCGCAGGGUUUCUCAUUUACAGCUCGGUGGACUGGAACAACGGGAAAUGAAGUGUUUUACGUCUUGAAUUGAAACAGUUGUAAGGGAAGGAAUAUUUGUCAAUUUUUUAGUUAAUAAAUAAUAAUUUAUUAAUUACCUCUCUAUUUUCUUAUCUUAUAUAUGUAUAUAUAUAUAUAUAAUUUCUAGUGAUGCUGAUGCUUACUAGCACCCUGUCACUUUAGUGACAACUAUACUUAUUGCUUAUCAGUUCUAGAUUGUGAACAGCCACCUUUAUAGUUUAAAUAUAUAUAUAUUUUUAUUAUAUAUAUAUAUAUAUAUAUAUAUAUAUAUAUAUAUAUAUAUAUAUAUAUAUAUAUAUAUAUAUAUAUAUAGAGUGAUUGAAAAGUAACUUCCUAUUUUAAAAUACUUAUAAUUUAUUUAUUGACUAUAAUUUUUUUUAAAAAAACGAAUAUGUAAAGAAAGUGUAUAGCAUGGAAUUUUAUUUAAAAUUUGAUAUAGGCAUCAGCAUUCACCACCAGCUUCUGAAGCCGCUCGGGAACCACAUCAACUGAUUUCAUCAGGAACUCUUCUGGAAUGAAAGACAUAACUUCUCGUAUUCACCCUUCAAGUUCUUCCAAAGUCAUUGGUUUGGUAGAGAAAACUUCCUCCUUUAACCAACCCCAAAGGAAACAGUCGCUUCUGCCCAGCC